GGGAUGUCCCCACGAGGUGACCCCAAGGAGGUGGCUUCGAGGAGGUGGCCUCCAUGGAAGGUGUCCCCAAGGAGGUGGCCUCCAUGGGGACGUCCCCAUGGGGUGGCCUUGAUGGGUUGGCCUUGAUGGGGUGGCCCCAAGGAGGUGGCCCCAAGGGACGUCCCCAUGGGGUGUCACCAAAGGGAUGUCCCCAAGGAGGUGGCUUCGAGGAGGUGGCCUCCAUGGAAGGUGUCCCCAAGGAGGUGGCCUCCAUGGGGACGUCCCCAUGGGGUGUCACCAAAGGGAUGUCCCCAAGGAGGUGGCCUCCAUGGAGGUGACCCCAUUGAGGUGGCUUCAAGGAGGUGGCCCCAAGGGACAUCCCCAUGGGGUGUCACCAAAGGGGUGACCCCAAGGAGGUGUCCCCAAGGGAUGUCCCCACGAGGUGACCCCAAGGAGGUGGCUUCAAGGAGGUGGUGGCCUCCACGGGAUGUCCCCAAGGAGAUGUCCCUCAACGAGGAGCGGGUCCCUUGGGGGUGUCCCCCCUCCCUUUU
rnacentral:lncRNA from 1 species